UACGGAGGGUGCAAGCGUUAUCCGGAUUCACUGGGUUUAAAGGGUGCGUAGGUGGAUUGGUAAGUCAGUGGUGAAAUCUCUGGGCUUAACUCAGAAACUGCCAUUGAUACUAUCAGUCUUGAAUACCGUGGAGGUCAGCGGAAUAUGUCAUGUAGCGGUGAAAUGCUUAGAUAUGACAUAGAACACCAAUUGCGAAGGCAGCUUACUAUGGUGUCAAUGACGCUGAGGCACGAAAGCGUGGGGAUCAAACAGG
rnacentral:rRNA from 1 species